GCCGGGUGCAGUGGCGCGCGCCUGUAAUCCAAGCUGCUGGGAGGCUGAGGCUGGCGGAUCGCUUGAGUUCAGGGGUUCUGGGCUGCAGUGGACUAUGUCGAUCGGGUGUCCGCGCUAAGUUCGGUAUCGAUAUGGUGCUCCUGGGGGAGCUCGGGACCACCAGGUCGUCUAAGGAGGGGUGAACCGGCCCAGGUCGGAGACGGAGCAGGUCAAAGCCCCCGUGCCGAUCAGUAGUGGGGUCGCACCUGUGAAUAGACACUGCAGUGCAGCCUGAGCGAUACAGCGAGACUCAGUCUUUU
ensembl:misc_RNA Metazoa_SRP Metazoan signal recognition particle RNA